AAAUUGAAGAGUUUGAUCAUGGCUCAGAUUGAACGCUGGCGGCAGGCCUAACACAUGCAAGUCGAACGGUAACAGGAAGCAGCUUGCUGCUUCGCUGACGAGUGGCGGACGGGUGAGUAAUGUCUGGGAAACUGCCUGAUGGAGGGGGGAUAACUACUGGAAACGGUGGCUAAUACCGCAUAACGUCGCAAGACCAAAGAGGGGGACCUUCGGGCCUCUUGCCAUCAGAUGUGCCCAGAUGGGAUUAGCU
rnacentral:rRNA from 1 species